CGGCGGACGGGUGAGUAACGCGUGGGUAACCUGCCUCGUACAGGGGGAUAACAGUUAGAAACGACUGCUAAUACCGCAUAAGACCACAGCACCGCAUGGUGCAGGGGUAAAAACUCCGGUGGUAUGAGAUGGACCUGCGUCUGAUUAGCUAGUUGGUAAGGUAACGGCUUACCAAGGCGACGAUCAGUAGCCGACCUGAGAGGGUGACCGGCCACAUUGGGACUGAGACACGGCCCAA
rnacentral:rRNA from 1 species